rnacentral:rRNA from 1 species
AGUGAACGCUGGCGGUAGGCUUAACACAUGCAAGUCGAACGGCAGCACAGUAAGAGCUUGCUCUUACGGGUGGCGAGUGGCGGACGGGUGAGGAAUACAUCGGAAUCUACUUUUUCGUGGGGGAUAACGUAGGGAAACUUACGCUAAUACCUCAUACGACCUACGGGUGAAAGCAGGGGAUCUUCGGACCUUGCGCGAUUGAAUUAGCCGAUGUCGGAUUAGCUAGUUGGCGGGGUAAAGGCCCACCAAGGCGACGAUCCGUAGCUGGUCUGAGAGGAUGAUCAGCCACACUGGAACUGAGACACGGUCCAGACUCCUACGGGAGGCAGCAGUGGGGAAUAUUGGACAAUGGGCGCAAGCCUGAUCCAGCCAUACCGCGUGGGUGAAGAAGGCCUUCGGGUUGUAAAGCCCUUUUGUUGGGAAAGAAAAGCAGCAGGUUAAUACCCCGCUGUUCUGACGGUACCCAAAGAAUAAGCACCGGCUAACUUCGUG